UACGUAGGGUGCAAGCGUUAAUCGGAAUUACUGGGCGUAAAGCGUGCGCAGGCGGUGUGCAAGACCGAUGUGAAAUCCCCGGGCUUAACCUGGGAAUGGCAUUGGUGACUGCACGGCUAGAGUGUGUCAGAGGGGGGUAGAAUUCCACGUGUAGCAGUGAAAUGCGUAGAGAUGUGGAGGAAUACCGAUGGCGAAGGCAGCCCCCUGGGAUAACACUGACGCUCAUGCACGAAAGCGUGGGGAGCAAACAGG
rnacentral:rRNA from 1 species